rnacentral:misc_RNA from 1 species
AAAUGCGAUAAGUAAUGUGAAUUGCAGAAUUCAGUGAAUCAUCGAAUCUUUGAACGCACAUUGCGCCCGCCAGUAUUCUGGCGGGCAUGCCUGUCCGAGCGUCAUUUCAACCAUCAAGCCCCCGGGCUUGUGUUGGGGACCUGCGGCUGCCCACAGGCCCUGAAAACCAGUGGCGGGCUCGCUGUCACACCGAGCGUAGUAGCAAUCACCUCGCUCAGGGCGUGCUGCGGGUUCCGGCCGUUAAACAGCCUUACAAAACCCAAGGUUGACCUCGGAUCAGGUAGGAAGACCCGCUGAACUUAAGC